AGUCUCCCAAAUACUGAGCUAAUUCUGGCAAUUCAUGAAUCAAUCUCAUCAUCUAUGUAUGUGGAAAUCCCUGGAAAGUAUAAUGCCAAGUUUCCCAUAGGGGAUGGCCUCUUCUAGCUUCAGCUCUUCUGACCAAUAAGACUGCAAAGAAACAGAUGCUGACUCGCAUUUUGGUUUUUUAUAAAACUGAGGUUCACCAAAUGUGAUACAGUUUCAGGGCAUCCUUGAGGUAGGUCAAAAUUGUUUUCAUAACAGUACUAGACGUUUUCAUUCCUAACACAUCAAAUAACGAUAGCUAUAAGACCACAUUAACAAAAGUUCUUAGAGGAGGGACCUCGAUAGUUAUAGAGGGAAAAGAGAUCCUGAAAACAAAAAGAUGGACAACCGCUGCUUCUGCUGCAGAGAACUAGAAAAUAUGAGAAUUACUUUCAUCAGAUCUCAAAGUAUGAUAGACACUUUUCAGGGCAUCCUUAGGUGUCAAAAUUAUUUUCAAACAGUAUUGGAUAUUUUCAUUUCUAACACAUGAAAUGAUAGUUAUAGCCCACAUUAACAAAAACUCUUAGAGUUUUUCUUGAAAGUCAAGAAGGUAAAGAGUUCUGAAAACCAAAAGUUUGACAACUGCUUCUGCUGCUCUAAAAGACAAGAAAAAUUAGCUCCCCAACAUUGGUAUUUACCAAAGAUUAAGCAAAGCAAAGAAUUGAGGAAUACUGAUUUUUUAACAUUUUUUAUUACACAGUAAAGAAUACAACAAUACCUGAAUCAUACUUUAAAGAUUCACAGGUUGACAGACCAUACAUUACAGUCCAACUAAGGAAAAAAAGGAUAAACAAGAAACCACAGUUCAGACAUAGUAGACUUAAAAAGCUCAAAGAGUAUGCUGACAAAAGCAUGAUGCCCAGCCCCCCUCCCCCCCCAGUGUUAGUCUACCAUUAACUUGUGGUACAUGUCUGAAUUAAGUAUUGCACAACAACUUUAUUUUUUUUCACAAUAAUGUCGCAGAACCCAAAAUAAUAUUAAUAAUAAAAAAAUUACUUCAAAUCUGCAUUUCAACAGUCUUAGCAAAACAGGAGGAGAGGAAGAGGAGGAGGAGGAGGAGGAAGAGGAAGAGGGGGGAAGGAGGAAGGAGUUGGAGAUAGAGCUCAGAGUUAGGGAUUUUUGUAUUUGUUUUCACUCAGGGUGCCCUGAAUUUAAAGUAAUGAGACAUACUGUACUAAUCCUUAUUUUACACACUAGUGUUAAGAAUAACAGUGCUGUUUCACAUAUAUCACAGCUUCUAGAGAUAAAGACGUAUGGGUAUGACAUACCUCAUUUUUAUUUUUUUGGGAUUAUCUAAACCCUUCAUAGCCUAAAACAUAGAAUAGCUCUAUAAGAAAGGACUGUCCAGUGUCACAAGCAGACUAGAAACCAGAGUGAGGUCAAAUGAGUCUUGGGAGCACCAUGAUAAAAAUAUAACCCAUUCAGAGCCUGGUUAUGUGCUUUCCUUUCCCUUAAAAGCAGGUGUGCUGGCAGAUGGACUUCCAACAUGGAGAUGUAUUUAUUUGCUCAUCAGAACUUUCUGAGUUUAGAGGCAUUUAAAAAAAAUGGAAACCAACCUAAGAGAUAAGAAUGAAUGCUUACUUUUUCAUAAUUGAUCAACUAAAACCAAAUUAAGAUUCAGAUCUCCUCUUAGCAGGUAUUUAGCAAGCCCUUUGAAAGAGUAUCUAAGAGCUAUAUGAAAAUUUUGAAGAAUAAUAGAUCAUUCACAGAAAUUUAAAUAAAUACCUGGUGUGAUUAUACGUGUGUGUGUGU
ensembl:lncRNA